UGGACGGAAGUCUGAUGAGGGU
rnacentral:miRNA from 1 species